AGGAGAAGCCGGCAUGAGGGGAGUUGAAGCAAAGAGUCGGGACGCAGCGAUAGAUUGUGAAAUUUAGGACGAAAUGAUAAUAGCUUUAUGCUUAAGUUGAGUAAUUACAUUGUUCGAAAGGCGCUCUCUUGAGUUGUCUCAGUAGCUUAGGAUAAGUUAUAUUUUUAGCAGAGUCAAGAUUUAGCUAAUUGAUGUCAGGAGUGAUUUGGGGUUAAGGUGUGGCUUUCAGCAAAAGGGCGAUUUGCCUAAAGUGUAACAGAAUUAAAUAUAUGUUAGCCUUUUUUUUUUUUUUUUUUUUUUUUUUUUUUGGUUAUCGUUAGCAUUUGAUGCGACUGACACCGGUAGGAUUGGGUGAGAUAUUUAAAUCCAGGAAACAUUCGAUUACACAAUCAUUCUGGAAUAUGUUACAAAGCGACAUUAGAUGAGCCUUAUAACAAUCGCUGUAACUUUUUGGAAGUAGGUGAACCCACGUCAUUAAAGGAUGGAAUUUGUUACAUUCCACUGGAAGAGCUCGCGAUUUGGUCAGAGACCGCGCGCGCACAGUUCAGAGUGUAGCCGUACAGGGCGUGCGCAAGUCCGCUGGCUAGUAGACAGUCUGUAGGCUGUGUCUGCGGGUGAAAAAAAGCGUAUCGCGUUGAAUAUAAAGGAUAUUAUGUGGAUAAUAACUGGACGCCAUACCGCGUGCCAACAUGACAUAAUGAUCGAUCUUCAAGACACAAAUCGACAAUUCUACCAGUUGAAGUAGCCUCACAUCUGGAUUGAAGACCUCAGUUUCAUACCAGUGUCAACUGUGCCAUUAAAUGAAUGUCUUCUUACAUAUGAAUGACGUCCAAAUUCUUAAGGUCCAGCCAUGCCCCACUCCCACAUUUUCUGAGUAUCAUCGAGAACAUUCUCUGGGAGACCUACUGGCUGACCUGCAGCAGUUCUUCACUGGCAAGCUUUAUGUCCUUGUGUACCAGCUAAAGCUGCCAGCUGAAGAACUGUUGUGGUUGGCUCUUUCCUGGCACAUCAGCUCAGAGAUGACAGUGCAGAGGUAAAGGCAUUGUGGGCUCAGGAAUUAAGUUCUUCCAGGCAGUCAAUAAGACUGUCUGAACCAAUCCAAGAUCAGACAGAUCCCAAUUUUUUUUUUCUUACCCUCCAUCAGCCUUUCCCCAUCCACUCACGUGAGCUGCCCGAGCUUCGCUAUUAGUUAUUCUCAGGCAUAAACAAAACUACUGAGUUCAUGCUGACUCAGCCACAUUCCUGGCCCGGCGAGGCCCCAUUGCCCUUAUUUGGGUGUGGCGCAGGCAGGGAGUGGCAUUCUGCGCACUCAUCAGAGCUGACAGAGGUGGCCAUCUUGCUCUGCUUUGGCAAAUGGAGAGAAAGCUGGAGGGCAGAUGCUCUUGUCUUGUCUGAUGUGCAGUGGCAGGAAAUAUUAUGUUAAUCUUAACAACUACAGGAGGAGGAGUUGUAGCAUUCUGGAGAUGUGCCCAGGCUAUGACGUGUUUGUGUGUUGAAAGUCACAGUUCCUCCAUGGAAUGACUGGUGAAAGCCUGCAGUGCAUAUGUAACUUCCUCUUUCCCUUCUGAGGCCAUUCUAUGGCAUAAAUAUGAUUUUUGGUCUGUUUGUUCUACUUCUGCACAUGGAGUACAAAUCGACCUCGGUCAUAAUCUGUAUGCACACACACAGACCUGCAUAUUUACACACCCUUACCAUGUCACCUGACUCUAGGCAAGCCGUAAACUUUAUCUCAAGGCCGACUUCAGUGCUGAAAACAGGAUAUGAAAAUGUGUCCUUUUAAAUCCUCCCAGCCAGAUGAAAAGAAUAUUCUCUCCAUUUAGCAGAACCAGAUGCCCUGUGUCGGUGUCGUGCCAAAUCUUACCCCGUCGAAUUCCGACCCCAUUGAACCCUAAAGCAAUUCUUUUGGCUGACAGAAUUUCUUUUUGGUACUUUCUCAUCAAUGCCUGAGAAAACAUACAAAAUAGCUUUGUAAUAUGUUGUCUUGACCAUCAAAAUACUUUAAAUGUCUUUUAUAUAUCACAUUAUAUAACCGUAGCUACAAAUGAUCAAAAUAAACACAUCUCUCUCUGUUUUACUCUGUGGCUAGCAAGCCAACUAAUUAGCAAACAAGCAUAGCAUACUACUAACUGAUCAUAAUCUAUAUAAUUAUCUUAACCUACUUAAGUUAUCGUACACAAGUUAUUAAUCACAACAAAGCAGCAUUGAGGGGUUUCCCAUCCAGGGAUCCAUCCAUUACUGACCUUUUUAUAAAAAAAAAAAAAAAAAAGAAAUUAAAAAAAAAAACACUUUCUGAUGAAGCUCUCAUCUGGACAUGCCUCAUUGCUGCGCACAUGUGACUGUACCUUACCUAUGGCUCUGACCUUCACACAAGGGCUUCUUCAGGUCAUGAGCGAAGAUUGCCUACCUGAUCCGCUCUAGUCUAAUGUCAAUCUCCCCGCAAGUGCAUUAAAAGAUUGUUGAGGGUCGUAGUCUUAGCUCCUAUUAAAGAAAUGGCACACACAUAAGAAGCUCUGCAUCUGUGUUGCAGGUGCAUUUAGAUCACAAUUAGCUUGAAUGUUACUGUUAGAACUCCACAAUCUAACCAUCGUCCACCUGCUUCUGUCCACUCAUAAAAAGGCUAGAGUCAGAAUCAAUGUGUGAUUAAACUUGAAAUUUAGAUUACAUUACUAGUUCAUCAGGUUGUGACUGUUUUAGGUCUAAAUGAACAGACUCUCCAUUUUUGUUCUUGUCAAAAUGUGAUUCAAUAAUGUAAUGGUAAAGUGAUUGGUCAAAUAAAGAAAUAAAAUGGCUUUAGGCAAAAUAACUUUUUGUAUUUUUAUUUAUUUAAAAUAUAAGGUAAUUUAUGAUUGAUACUUUUAUCUUAAUACUUCAAUUAAUUAUUUAUGAAUGUAAACAUGAUUUGUAAACAUUCCUGUCUGAGAUACAAGAGUCAAUCUGUUGGGGGGGGUCAUAUUUCCUGAAACUUUACAAGGCAGAGAUGCAAUUUAGUAUAGUAGGUUAGAGAUAAUCUUAAGUUGGAGCUGUUUUACAGCUAUUGUAGUUUGAUGACCCCAUACUGAUAAACGUCACUUUUUGAGCCUCUUUCUUACCACUUAAUACAGAGUAUACCUUAAUACUUGUGAAACGAAACACCAAGCAAAAUCUGCCAAGUUAGAUCACAUUAGAUCUCCUACUAAAUGUAUUUAUAUACAUUUAACUAGUUUCAGUUAAAUUGUGCCUCUCAAAGCAUUUUUCUUUUUUUAAAGAAACAGGUGUACAAGUUUCCAUAAAAGCUAGGGUGUUAAACCAGUGGUAAGUUAACCCAUGAAAGUUGAAGGAGCUCAAGGGGUGUUAUGGAAUAUUCUUAGGUUUUCAUGACAUUUCUAACUAUUAAUUAAUUAAUAGUAAUAUUAACAUUUUUUAAUGAAUGUUGUUUUAAAAAAAUCUAACUUUUUCAUACUGUGGGUCCCUGGGUUGACUAUGAGUCUAAAAUUCCCUUUUAUGCAAAGAAAGUUCUAGCUACAUGCUAGAAAAUACAAACAUACAAUAACAAAUGCCCCACAGGCUUCCAUAGUAAGUGAAAUUCUGUCAACUUUUUGUGUUUUUACAAUCUGGGGGACAAAUUGAAAUUAUCUUUUGUGCUAAUUGUUAGCAUGUCACAGAUGUUGACAGUAGAGCUUAAUUUAUUUAACCUGGAACAUUCCUUUAAUGUGAGACAGCUUACAGUCUUUUUUUGUUGAGGAAAACUUGACCUUGUAAGUUGUAGCAGGGGCCCCACAUGUGCAAAAUAAACCCAAAUGGCAAAGGUCAGAUACCUCACAGUAACUUUGCAGCAGGGUGAGCGGGUACAUUAUAUCACCAGUUUGUGAUCAACAGUUCUUAAAAGUACCUCCUUAACACUUUAGAUAAUGUUCAAACCGAACAGUGUCAAGAAGCUAAAAGCACACAAGCAGUGAUGUUUCUGAAUUUGGAUCAUUAGGCAGAGUCAUAUGCCUGCAGUUGUCAUUGUCAACUAUUCACUUGUUAGGUUUUUUUUCUUUUUAAAACACAGAGGGUAAUGCCUCUGGAACAACUAGUUGUUGAACAACUUCAUAAUCCAAUUUAGAUCGGAAUAUAGGCAUAAACAUAGGAAUUUAAGAUGGUACAUUGGUACAACAUGUUUCACAACACCCCAUGUUCCGCUUUAAUUCACACCAAAUCUGUUCACAAACCAGAAGUCUGUUUGGUAGGACUGAUGGAAAAUUUAUCUCCACAUGGACAGCUUGGACAGAGUGAGAGAACAGCUCCAGACCUGGUGCAAAGGGGUUUUACAACUCCUCUAAAUUCCCCCUUCAACGGGGUAAAAGCUGCUUAUACAGAUUACCAUGAGUUCCAGACAAGCAAGAGAUCAUUCACCUGACGAAACAUCCAUGUCGCAACACCGUUCCAGCAUCCCGCAAAUCUGCCUGACCUUUGCCCUUGGUCUUGUGGCAUGCUAGUUUACCAAGUCAAUGUACCACAGUGUACCUCUAGCACAGUGGGUGUCAUGUAACCUGUCUGAUUGGUAAGAGGCAUUGUACGUAAUGCAGCAGAAUAUGAUGAUUACUGUAAUGUUAGCAAAAAUAAAUUAGGAUAGAGUUGCCACUUGUACUCAAGUAAACGUAAUGUGAUGCUACAUGCUGCUUCCUUAGCUCUCUCUCACAAAACAGACACUGUAAUUUGCAGUAUGUAAGAGUUCAGUGCUCCUUAUUUAUCUGUGCUCCACCUGCUUUUUGCUGAAUGUAAUUGACACACAAGGGUAAAACUUUUUAAAUGAGGAAACAAUUUUUUAAGAGCACCUUAACAUUUGCAUAUGUGAUUAUUCAAACUCUGGAUAUUCUGUUGCCUCUUACACACUCUUCCAGAAAAUGAGAAUUUAGGGGCUUCAAUUCCCCACUUAAAAACAAGCAUCCCUCACACCAGGUCCAUGUUCAGGCUGUGUGAUUAUAGCUGCUCCUCACCGUCUGGUGAAUUCAUUAGAUGCUGCAGGAAAAUCCCAUAUGCAGGGUGUCUGAUGACUCACAGCAUACAGUAUGUUCUCCCACCAAUAUAUGAGUAAGUACCUAGCCUCUUGGUUAAAUGAAGCAGUGUGAUACAUAUAGCUGUGUGCAACCAGCAGAUCCAGAAAAAGAUAGGGGGGAGGGGGGCAUAGUAGGAAAAUGUGAAAUAUGUAGCAUAGGGAGUGAUGGAAAAUGUGAAGACCAAGGAAGGGGGAAAAUAUGAGGUGGCUGAAAUUGUUUAAUCUCUCUUCAUUAACUUAUGUCGUUCCAGACCCAUAUGGUUUUCUUGCUUCUGUGUACUAUUAAAGUAAAUAUUGCAGAUAUACUUUUACUGUAAUUGUUUUCCAUACAAUGAAAGUGAAGGUUGACUAGGAACAGAGCAGCUUGGACAUUCUGAUCGAUAAUUCCUUUUGUUUUCCACGCAAGAAAAUAAAAUCAUACAGAUUUGGGAUGACAUAAGGGGUUGUAAAUUAAUAUAGAAUUUUCAUUUUUGGGUGAACUAUCUCUGUAAAUCAUUAACCUGCCAUAUUUGUACCUUCAUGCUUAAUCCCAGCAGUAACGUCACAACAGGUCCUGUCCACCAGACGAUUCCCUUCUCUGCUUAAAGGCUGGCUAUGUAAUUCUAUGGAAUGUCUGACCGGGGAGCUGCACGAGCUAGACAAUCUCAUUAAAGGGACAUGAUGCCUCAGUGCACGUCUCCUUCCACACUCCAUCUCAUUCCCUCCUCCACGCGCGAGCUGCUCAAUUUGUUUCUAGUGUGCCAUGCUUGGCUUUAUUUAUAUCAAUGCUUUUCAAUGUUUUUUUUUUUAUUUUAUUUUAAGUAAUUUCGGUAGCACUUUAUUUUACAGUACUGUUCUAAAUUUACGUGCUAUAUAAUUACAACAACUAUAGUAAUUACAAGGUACUAAACCUAACCUUAACCCAUAUUAAUUACAUGAAGUUACCUAAUAUUACUCAGUACUUUUUUUUGAGUAAAUACACUGUUUACUGAAAGUACACGUAAUGUAAAAUAAAGUGCAACCAUAAUUUCUUAUUUGUUUGAAAGCACAGUACAUUUUCUUGAAUAUUUGUGAUUAAAGCAACCUUUUUAAAAACUCUGACCUCACUUUCUAAUUUACCCUGGUACAGCCCUGUCUGCCACGGUGUCUCUAGCGAUUAUAUAAAAAAAAAGAAUGAACUGUCUGUUAGGUAAAAAUAACAAAAUUGGUGGAAUGUUCUAUCUGAUAACCUGACAAUGUAAAUACUCAUUUUUAAACAUAUGUCUGUACCACUAGUGAUUAUGUGUGUAUACACUAACGAAAAAAGUACCACUGUUGGGAAGCUCCUUUUAAACUCAACCUAUCCUUUUGAAAAGGUAGCUGUGAUUUUAACCCUAACUACAUAGAAGUUACUUAAAGGGACGAUAUCUUUUUAAACAUAUAACUACAAUGGGGUAGCACACUCCUUUUGCCUGGAGUGGCCUUUCGGUAUGCGCCAGCUCUGAUUACUUAGAACUGAACAUCUAAAAAAAAAAUAUUUACUAUGUAUGAUAAACAACAGACAUUAAAUAACAGUGAUUAACUAAUCAGAUUUGUAUAUAUGUUUUCAUCAGUUUCGUGCACCUUCAAAAAUGGCCAAGAGAAUAGUUCAAGGAUUACUUUGAUUUUCUUAAAAAAGGAAGGUAAGAUAUUCCUAUGACAUAUGUUAUACCCCCCACCACCACUACCACCACCACCAUAGGGUUACCCCACCUCAAAAGUUCCGAUUUAACUCCUGCUUAAAUCUUAAAAUUAGAAAGAAUUGGUAAGACUGGCGAUAAGCCGAUUUGACUUAAGGUAAUGCAAUUUAUUUGAUCAGAACAGUUCAAGGCAAGCUUAUGACUUUAAAAAGAAAGGAACAGAAGGAAAGAUAUUGCUAUAACUGCUGUUUUAGGACAUUUACAUUGACAUAUUAUAGCCCCUCAACAUAGGUUUCCCCUAUCACAGUGUUCACCCCAUCAUUGGGUUCCUCCUCAUCUUAAGGUUCUCCCUGUAUCAUAGGGUUUCCCCAUUGUAGGUUUCCAUGCAUCAUACGGUUUACCUCCAUCACAGUGUUCCCCAUCAUCGUAGGGUUCACUCUUUCAUUGGGUUCUCUCAUCAUAGGUUUCCAAAUGGUUCUCCUUAUCAUAGCGUUCCCCACAUCAUAGGGUUCCAUGUGGUUCACCCUAUGAUAGUGUUCCCCCUAAUCAUUAGGAUCCCCCUCAGUUGAAAUGAUUCACCCCAUCAUAGUGUUCCCUCCUUAAUUGGUUCCAUGUGAUUUACCCUUUCAUAUGGUUCCCCAUCAUAGGGUACACUCCAUCAAAAGGUUCUCACUAUCACAGGGUUCCAUAUGGUUUUCCCUAUCAUAGUGUUCCUAGCAUCAUAGGGUUCCAUAUGAUUCACCCUAUCAUAGAGAUCCCUGCAUCAUUUGGUUCCCUAUAUCAUAUGAUUCCCUCCAUCAUAGGGUUCCAUAUGAUUCAUGCUAUAAUAGGGUUCCUCGCAUCAUAGGGUUCCUCACAUCAUAGGGUUCCCCUCAUCAUGGGGUUUCAUGUGAUUCACUAUCAUAAAGUUUCCCCAUCAAAUGGUUCCUUCCAUCAUAAGGUUCCAUAUGGUUCACCCUAUCAUAGUGUUCCCCCAUUAUAAGGUUUCCUCCAUAAUAAGGUUCUAUAUGGUUCAACCUAUCAUAAUGUUUCCCCAUCAUAGGGUUCUCCCAUUAUAGUGUUCCCUCCAUCAAAAGGUUCUACAUGGGUCACCCUAUCAUAUUGUUCCCCCAUUAUAAGGUUCUCACCAUCAUAGGGUUCCAUAUUAGGGCAGUGGUAGCUCAGCGGUUAAGGCUCUGGGUUCCUGAUCAGACGGUCAGGGGUUCAAGCCCCAGCACUGCCAAGAUGCCACUGUUGGGCCCUUGAGCAAGGCCCUUGACCCUAUCUGCUCCAGGGGUGCUGUAUCAUGGCUGACCC